rnacentral:tRNA from 1 species
GGGGUUGUAGCUCAGCCUGGUAGAGCACCUCCCUUGCAAGGAGGGGGCCAGGGGUUCGAAUCCCCUCGACUCCA